UACGUAGGGGCCAAGCGUUGUCCGGAUUUAUUGGGCGUAAAGAGCUCGUAGGCGGUUCGGCAAGUCAGCUGUGAAAUCUCCACGCUCAACGUGGAGGGGUCAGCUGAUACUGCUGUGACUCGAGUCCGGUAGGGGAGUGUGGAAUUCCCGGUGUAGCGGUGAAAUGCGCAGAUAUCGGGAGGAACACCGGUGGCGAAGGCGGGUCUCUGGGCCGAUACUGACGCUGAGGAGCGAAAGCGUGGGGAGCGAACAGG
rnacentral:rRNA from 1 species